GAUGAACGCUAGCGGCAGGCCUAAUACAUGCAAGUCGGACGGGAUCUAUCGGAGAGCUUGCCCGAAGAUAGUGAGAGUGGCGCACGGGUGCGUAACGCGUGAGCAACCUACCCAUAUCAGGGGGAUAGCCCGGAGAAAUCCGGAUUAAGACCGCAUAACACUGUGAUUUGGCAUCAUGUUACAGUUAAAUAUUUAUAGGAUAUGGAUGGGCUCGCGUGACAUUAGCUAGUUGGUGAGGUAACGGCUCACCAAGGCGACGAUGUCUAGGGGCUCGGAGAGGAGAAUCCCCCACACUGGUACUGGGACACGGACCAGACUCCUACGGGAGGCAGCAGUAAGGAAUAUUGGUCAAGGGGCGGAAGCCUGAACCAGCCAUGCCGCGUGCAGGACGACUGCCCUAUGGGUUGUAAACUGCUUUUGUCGAGGAAUAAACCUAUCUACGUGUAGAUAGCUGAACGUACUCGAAGAAUAAGGAUCGGCUAACUCCGUGCCAGCCGCCGCAGUAA
rnacentral:rRNA from 1 species